UCGCCCAGUGUUCCUGUCCACCACCGCUCCCUAGCCUGUUUCUUACCAACGCCAGGUCUCUUGCUAACAAGACGGAUGAACUAAGGCUACAGAUGUCUGCGA